CUACUGCCGCCGCCGCCACUGCCAGGACUACAGCCUAACCAUCCGUCUGCGCUCCCUAGAGCGCUCGCCCAGACUGAGAACCCUCUCUGUUCGCAGACACACAACUUCUGUCUGCUCACCUACCACCGGCACCAUGUGACUAGAACCCACGCCAUUGGCUGUCAAUUAUGGCUGUGGAAGACCCAGCCUAGGGGGAUGGCUUGUCAUAUGGAUCAUGUGAAGGGGAAAUGAAGAAGGACAGAUCAGCUUCUGCUUCCUUGGAGGAGCUCCAAUCUUUGUCUUCACCAUAGACAUCAUCCCCUGGCUUCCAGUGCAGACCCUUCAGCUUCCAGCACAGUCUUCAGCCUUCUGGUGUCGACUCUUUAGCCUUCCAUGGCAGACCCAUCGGCCUGCCUGGCGUGGACACUGCAGUGAGCUCCAUAUCUUGGACAAAAUCACUCAGUCUCCAGCAUACAGACACCCUCUACGCGCUUCCUCAUCCAACACUGUGGGUGGCCACUGUAAGCCAAUCUUGUAAAUCCUUAUAUGUUUGUAUAUCUUGUGUCUUAUCUAUUUCUCUAGUAAACAUUGACUGAUGCAGCCAGA